GACGAAGGAUGCAAGCGUUAUCCGGAUUCAUUGGGUUUAAAGGGUGCGUAGGCGGACUUGUAAGUCAGUGGUGAAAUCUCUUUGCUUAACAAAGAAACUGCCAUUGAUACUGCAGGUCUAGAGUAUAGAUGACGUUUGGCGGAAUAUGACAUGUAGUGGUGAAAUACUUAGAUAUGUCAUAGAACACCGAUUGCGAAGGCAGCUAACGAAACUAUAACUGACGCUGAGGCACGAAAGUGCGGGGAUCAAACAGG
rnacentral:rRNA from 1 species